CCUACGGGAGGCAGCAGUGGGGAAUAUUGGACAAUGGGCGCAAGCCUGAUCCAGCAAUGCCGCGUGAGUGAUGAAGGCCUUAGGGUCGUAAAGCUCUUUUACCAGGGAUGAUAAUGACAGUACCUGGAGAAUAAGCUCCGGCUAACUCCGUGCCAGCAGCCGCGGUAAUACGGAGGGAGCUAGCGUUGUUCGGAAUUACUGGGCGUAAAGCGUACGUAGGCGGUUAUUCAAGUCAGAGGUGAAAGCCCGGGGCUCAACCCCGGAACGGCCUUUGAAACUAGGUAGCUAGAAUCUUGGAGAGGUCAGUGGAAUUCCGAGUGUAGAGGUGAAAUUCGUAGAUAUUCGGAAGAACACCAGUGGCGAAGGCGACUGACUGGACAAGUAUUGACGCUGAGGUACGAAAGCGUGGGGAGCAAACAGGAUUAGAUACCCUGGUAGUCCACGCCGUAAACGAUGAUAACUAGCUGUUCGGGCACUUGGUGCUUGAGUGGCGCAGCUAACGCAUUAAGUUAUCCGCCUGGGGAGUACGGUCGCAAGAUUAAAACUCAAAGAUAUGACGNGNGAGAGCGACGAGCACAGGAGGUAG
rnacentral:rRNA from 1 species